GCCAGCAUGGUGUAGUGGUUUGAGCAUUGGACUAGGAUGCUGGAGAUCAGGGUUCGAAUCCCAGCUCCAGCA